rnacentral:rRNA from 1 species
CGGAGGGUGCAAGCGUUAUCCGGAUUCACUGGGUUUAAAGGGUGUGUAGGCGGGUAAUUAAGUCAGUGGUGAAAUCUCCAGGCUCAACCUGGAAACUGCCAUUGAUACUAUUUAUCUUGAAUCUUGUUGAGGUAGGCGGAAUAUGUCAUGUAGCGGUGAAAUGCUUAGAUAUGACAUAGAACACCGAUUGCGAAGGCAGCUUACUAAGCAAGCAUUGACGCUGAGGCACGAAAGCGUGGGGAUCAAACAGGAUUAGAUACCCUGGUAGUCCACGCCCUAAACGAUGAUUACUCGACAUACGCGAUACACAGUGUGUGUCUGAGCGAAAGCAUUAAGUAACCCACCUGGGAAGUACGUCCGCAAGGAUG